CCCACAUCUCUACAAAUCCAGAAGAUGAAAUGCUUGUGCUGCUGUAGGCUGCUCCUUUGGAUGGCAAUUCUCUGGGACAGUCAGGAACAAACAAAAUGCACACAGAAAAAAAAAAAGAAAGGGCAGAUUCUGGCUGAGCACUACGGUUGACCAGAGAUGUGGCAUCUAAUCAAAGCGUUUCUGGAGCGAGAAAGAAAGGUGAAUGCCUUAAACAGUCAACCCUAGAGUCACGUUCCUUCUUGCUUACUCCCAUCUGUCUCAGUUUCCUUCCUGUAAGUCCCACUCAGUACUUAAGAAAAAUAAAAUCAUAAGCACCAACAUGAAGGACAGAGCCUCAUAGCUUGGAAAGAUGAAAGGUCAAUACUGCCAGCUUUAUCAGAGUCCAGAAUUGUAAACAUUUCCUCCAGAGGGUUAAAGGGACUUUGCUUGUUUUGUCUUGCACAGGUUUUCGUACAUAUGACGAUACUUUUACCUCUUCGUGGGUGUUCAAAACCAGGACGGCAGGGAAAACAGCCCAAGUGCUAUUUUUUGUCCCAGCAUUUGCAUUGCACUUCCAGCGUUUGCACUGGGCAUGUUUAAACAUGUCCAGGUUUUGUUUCUUUUUUUUUUUUA